rnacentral:rRNA from 1 species
UACAGAGGUCCCAAGCGUUGUUCGGAUUCACUGGGCGUAAAGGGUGCGUAGGCGGUUGGGUAAGUCUGACGUGAAAUCUCCGAGCCUAACUCGGAAACUGCGUCGGAUACUAUUCAACUCGAGGAAGUGGAGGGGAGACUGGAAUUCUCGGUGUAGCAGUGAAAUGCGUAGAUAUCGAGAGGAACACCAGUGGCGAAGGCGAGUCUCUGGACAUUUCCUGACGCUGAGGCACGAAAGCCAGGGGAGCAAACGGG